rnacentral:misc_RNA from 1 species
UCCGGCUUGUCACCGGCGGUCCCGUCAGAGUGCCCAGCAUAACCUGAUGGCAACAGACGGCGAGGGUUGCGCUCGUUGCGGGACUUAACCCAACAUCUCACGACACGAGCUGACGACAGCCAUGCAGCACCUGUGUUCCGGUCCCUUGCGGGAAGGAAUCCAUCUCUGGAAACCGUCCGGACAUGUCAAGCGUAGGUAAGGUUCUUCGCGUUGCGUCGAAUUAAACAACAUACUCCACCGCUUGUGCGGGUCCCCGUCAAUUCCUUUGAGUUUUAACCUUGCGGCCGUACUCCCCAGGCGGUGUGCUUAGUGGUUUCCCUGCGCCGCCGAAACCCUGAGGGUCCCAACAGCUAGCACACAUAGUUUAAGGCGUGGACUAC